AUUGAACGCUGGCGGCAGGCCUAACACAUGCAAGUCGAGCGGAUGAAGGGAGCUUGCUCCUGGAUUCAGCGGCGGACGGGUGAGUAAUGCCUAGGAAUCUGCCUGGUAGUGGGGGAUAACGUCCGGAAACGGGCGCUAAUACCGCAUACGUCCUGAGGGAGAAAGUGGGGGAUCUUCGGACCUCACGCUAUCAGAUGAGCCUAGGUCGGAUUAGCUAGUUGGUGGGGUAAAGGCCUACCAAGGCGACGAUCCGUAACUGGUCUGAGAGGAUGAUCAGUCACACUGGAACUGAGACACGGUCCAGACCCCUACGGGAGGCAGCAGUGGGGAAUAUUGGACAAUGGGCGAAAGCCUGAUCCAGCCAUGCCGCGUGUGUGAAGAAGGUCUUCGGAUUGUAAAGCACUUUAAGUUGCGAGGAAGGGCAGUAAGUUAAUACCUUGCUGUUUUGACGUUACCAACAGAAUAAGCACCGGCUAACUUCGUG
rnacentral:rRNA from 1 species